rnacentral:misc_RNA from 1 species
GAUGAAGAACGUAGCGAAAUGCGAUAAGUAAUGUGAAUUGCAGAAUUCAGUGAAUCAUCGAAUCUUUGAACGCUCCUUGCGCCCUUUGGCUAUUCCGAAGGGCAUGCCUGUUUGAGUAUCAUGAACACCUCAACUCUCAUGGUUUGCCAUGAUGAGCUUGGACUUUGGGGGUCUUGCCGGCCUAUGGGUCGGCUCCUCUCAAAUUAAUCAGCUUGCCAGUGUUUGGUGGCAUCACAGGUGUGAUAACUAUCUACGCUUGUGGUUUUCCAUCAGGUAACCUUCAGUGAUGGAGGUUUGCUGGGGCUCAUAAAUGUCUCUCCUCAGUGAGGACAGCUUUUUUGAACGUUUGAUCUCAAAUCAGGUAGGACUACCCGCUGAACUUAAGCAUAUCAAUAAGCGGAGGA